rnacentral:rRNA from 1 species
AAGUUUGAUACUGGCUCAGAUUGAACGCUGGCGGCAUGCCUAACACACGCAAGUCGAACGGAAACGAUGGGAGCUUGCUCCCAGGCGUCGAGUGGCGGACGGGUGAGUAAUACUCAGGAAUCUACCCAGUAGUGGGGGACAACACGACGAAAGUCGUGCUAAUACCGCAUACGCCCUAAGGGGGAAAGUGGGGGAUCUUCGGACUUCACGCUAUUGGAUGAGCCUAAGUCGGAUUAGCUUGUUGGUGAGGUAAUGGCUCACCAAGGCGACGAUCCGUAGCUGGUCUGAGAGGACGAUCAGCCCCACUGGGACUGAGACACGGCCCAGACUCCUACGGGGGGCAGCAGUGGGGAAUAUUGGACAAUGGGGGCAACCCUGAUCCAGCAAUACCGCGUGUGUGAAGAAGGCCUGCGGGUUGUAAAGCACUUUCAGUAGAGAAGAAAAGCUUAGGGUUAAUACCCCUGAGUCUCGACGUAACCUACAGAAGAAGCACCGGCUAACUCCGUGCCAGCAGCCGCGGUAAUACGGGGGGUGCAAGCGUUAAUCGGAAUUACUGGGCGUAAAGCGCGCGUAGGCGGUCUGGUCAGUCGGAUGUGAAAGCCCUGGGCUCAACCUGGGAAUGGCAUUCGAUACUGCCCGACUAGAAUAUGGAAGAGGGAAGUGGAAUUUCCGGUGUAGCGGUGAAAUGCGUAGAUAUCGGAAGGAACACCAGUGGCGAAGGCGGCUUCCUGGUCCAAUAUUG